AUGUCAAAGCGCAAGAUCUCGCUCCACAGCUGCAGCACCGCCGCCGCGGCGGUCGAAAUGUCAAAGCGCAAAAUCUCUCUCCACAACUGCAGCACCGCAGCCGCCCCCAAGCCGCAGCAACACUUGUUCCUAGUGUUGGACGACUGGGAUAAGGGCUACAGCGUUCGCAAGGUGGAUUUAGACGCUUUGGACUACGCCAACGAUAACUGCGAGCCUGACGACUUCAGCGAGCCGCCGCUCGCCCGCUUUGACGUGGUGCACGGCCACUCGUACGCCUUCGUCGCCCACGGCACCAAGAUCGUUGCCAUGAAGCCCCAUGAGGUUAGCCCCGCUAUCCCCGCCUUCGACACGGCCACCUCCGCAGUUGGUAUCCUCCCGUGGCCCGAGUUUCGCAUGUCCUUUGGAAGGCCCAUCCUCGUCUCCAUCGACGGAAGGCUCUUCCUCUUCAUCAACCGCAUCCACUACCUUGGCGACCCGCCAGUUUGCGAAGCUGUAUAUGCACCUGCAGUGCAGAAACCGUGGGUCUGGUCGUCACUCGACUCGCCACGUUCGCUGCUGCCGUUCACAGCUCCUGUAUGCUAUGCUGUACACCCGGAUGGGCGCACCCUCGUGGUGUCAUCCCGUAAAUGGAGGACCGUAACCGAGGAGGGCACCUUCUCCUUCGACACCAAGAAAAUGGAGUGGACGCGCCACGGCGACUGGCAGCUCCCUUUCCGCGGCCAAGCACACUACGUAUCUCAGCUGGAUGCAUGGAUCGGCAUGUGCCACCAUAAGGGUGGCAUCGGUCAUCUCUGUUCCUCGGAUGUCGUGCCAGUUGCCGCCGGUGCAACGACCUUACCACGAUGGAAGCUCCUCGGAGAGGAAAGGCUUUUCGACCCGGAUUCGCCGCUGCACCUGGGUGCCACCCUCGUUCACAUGGGCGGCACCAGGUUCUGUCUCGUGGAAUCUAUGUGGCACAAGGCCGAUGAAGACGUGCGGCAGCGCAAGGGCAAGGAGAGUGGAAUGUACGUAGGGCCUCCUCAGGUCGUUAUUCGCAUGACAACGUUUGAUGUUCAGUAUGACAAAGAUGGUGAGCUGCUUCUUCAGUCACGGUGA
rnacentral:rRNA from 1 species